rnacentral:rRNA from 1 species
AUACGUAGGUGGCAAGCGUUGUCCGGAAUUAUUGGGCGUAAAGCGCGCGCAGGUGGUUCCUUAAGUCUGAUGUGAAAGCCCCCGGCUCAACCGGGGAGGGUCAUUGGAAACUGGGGAACUUGAGUGCAGAAGAGGAUAGUGGAAUUCCAAGUGUAGCGGUGAAAUGCGUAGAGAUUUGGAGGAACACCAGUGGCGAAGGCGACGGAUUGGACUUAAAGUGACACGGAGGCCCGAAAGCUUGGGGAGCAAACAGGAUUACAAGCCCUGGUAUGGCACGCCGUAAACGAUGAGGGCUAAUUGUUGGGGGGUUUCCGCCCCUCAGUGCUGCAGCUAACGCAUUAAGCACUCCGCCUGGGGAGUACGGUCGCAAGACUGAAACUCAAAUGAAUUGGCGGGG